AUUGAACGCUGGCGGCAUGCCUUACACAUGCAAGUCGAACGGCAGCACGGGAGCAAUCCUGGUGGCGAGUGGCGAACGGGUGAGUAAAGUAUCGGAACGUGCCCAGUCGUGGGGGAUAACGCAGCGAAAGUUACGCUAAUACCGCAUACGAUCUAUGGAUGAAAGCGGGGGAUCGCAAGACCUUGCGCGAUUGGAGCGGCCGAUAUCAGAUUAGGUAGUUGGUGGGGUAAAGGCUCACCAAGCCGACGAUCUGUAGCUGGUCUGAGAGGACGACCAGCCACACUGGGACUGAGACACGGCCCAGACUCCUACGGGAGGCAGCAGUGGGGAAUUUUGGACAAUGGGCGAAAGCCUGAUCCAGCCAUGCCGCGUGCAGGAUGAAGGCCUUCGGGUUGUAAACUGCUUUUGUACGGAACGAAAAGGUUUGGCCUAAUAAGCUGAACUCACGACGGUACCGUAAGAAUAAGCACCGGCUAACUACGUGCCAGCCGCCGCGGUAA
rnacentral:rRNA from 1 species